rnacentral:rRNA from 1 species
UUGGAGGGCAAGUCUGGUGCCAGCAGCCGCGGUAAUUCCAGCUCCAAUAGCGUAUAUUAAAGUUGUUGCAGUUAAAAAGCUCGUAGUUGAAUUUCGAGAUCAAAUUGUUGGUCGUGCCUUGGUACGUACUGGCAUUAUUGAUUUCUCCCUUCUGAAGAACCACGAUGUCAUUAAUUUGGUGUCAUGGGGAAUCAGGACUGUUACUUUGAAAAAAUUAGAGUGUUUAAAGCAGGCUAACGCUUGAAUACAUUAGCAUGGAAUAAUGAAAUAGGACGUUUGAUUCUAUUUUGUUGGUUUCUAGGAUCGACGUAAUGAUUAAUAGGGAUAGUUGGGGGCAUUAGUAUUCAAUUGUCAGAGGUGAAAUUCUUGGAUUUAUUGAAGACUAACUACUGCGAAAGCAUUUGCCAAGGAUGUUUUCAUUAAUCAAGAACGAAAGUUAGGGGAUCGAAGACGAUCAGAUACCGUCGUAGUCUUAACCAUAAACUAUGCCGACUAGGGAUCGGAUGAUGUUAAUUUUUUAAUGACUCAUUCGGCGCCUUACGGGAAAC